GUGUCUCAUACACUGAUGAGCAUGAGAUCAGGAAUCCCAGUCUGAGAGACAUGCUUUGGAGUAAAAAGAUGGAGUUGGUUUAGGUGAUGAGAAUUAGAAAGGAGAUGUAAGGAUGGCAUACACACACACAUGGUUCUUCUUCAGAAGAGAGACACUGUUUAUUGUUUCAAGCCAGUUCAUUGUCUUCAAUAGAAUGUGGAAACAGGACAACUUUGCUAAGAAUAUUUAGAUUAUUAAAAGUUAAAAUAGAAAUGAAAAUUAAAUUAUACUACUAAUUACAACACAAAUUUUCUUAAACUUGUAAUGCAAGUUUAAGAAUGUUUAUUUUUCUGUGGCCAAUAAAGAUUAGACGAGAGAAAAUAAACAUAUGAAGUUGGUAAAACGAGGUACAAAAAUUAUGAUCAAAGCAGUGUUUUGUUUUUUUUUUCCUUCAGCUUUCCUCAGUAUUAUGUUUCUGGACAACGUGCUGCUUCAUGUCAUUAAGGCAAAUGAGGUUAUGAAUUGCUUUCAUUUUUUGCAAAGAAUUUUCCUUUCAAUAUCUUCUGAAGUAAGCCUUGAACUUGCUAUAAGAAUCAUACUGCAGAUUCUGAUUUCAUUUACCAUUUAUUCAUUCAUCAGAUACUGCCCUAUGUGAUUUCAUUUAAUAGGGCCAUAAGUAAUUAGUACUUUUGUCCUCUGCUAAAUGAGAAAGAAUAAGGUCUUAUAUUUCAGAGGAAAGAGAAAAUUACGCUUAUGGAUUAAGCUGCUAUAGAAUAAACAUUCCAAUGCACUUGAGUUUCUAGUUGGCAGUGACCCUCCUGGCAUAGUGUAUAUCCCUCACAUCCUAUUGAAUCUACCUAAUAGAUACAGAGCUUUUCUGUCUCAGUGGUUUUGCUGUCCAUUCGUUAAUCACAUUUCUCUAAGACAUUUCUGGCUUAGAUUGGAAAGAAUACUUCUGGUUACCUGCAAUACUCAAAAUUAAAAAAAAAAAAAAAGAGUAACUAGCAAUUGCUUUUUUGGUUAAUAAUAGCAUUAAGCUAUAGAAAGUGAUUCCAGUAAAGAAGAAACUGUUUUCCUUUGGUACUGAGAUUGAAACAUCUGUCCAGAAAUUGGCUGACUUUAAAUGCUAUUGUUGUGAUAUAGUCAGGAUACUGAAUAAUAAAUGCUUAAUAUAUUUAAGGGAUUGACACUUACUUGGUUCUACCUGACACUACACACAGCCUUUAAAAAGGGCACAACACAGUCAGAAACAUUUGACCGGAAGGAUUCUUUUGGAAUCUGUACCAUGUGAGUCAUCUUUUGGUUUCUGUGCUUGAAGAGAUCACAGGUGAUAGCAUCUGGUGUAUACGAUACUCUACUGCGCAGGUUGUAUUACCCGGCAGAAUGCUACCAUCUGUGAAAUCGAAGUUAAGAGAGUAAAAAUCUUAUACUGAGGAGAAACCUUCUGCCUUCUGGUUUAUCUGUGAGGUUUCAGAAAAGUAGGAAUGCGUUAACAUUAAACCAAUAGAGCUUUUAAAUAACAGUGAGAGAGUGUAGUGUUUCAAAUUAUUCCUACCAUUAACCUUGUGAUUUGUCCAUGUUCUAAAUAUCCUGCCAAAAAAACAGGUGAUGAGUCACUUCUGAUUCAUCUCUCCAGAUCAGCAGAACCCUUUGCACCUACCAAGAGAUCAAAGUAUUUUCAUUUUUCUUGCAUAUAAAAUAAAGACAAAUGCUUAGCUUAAAAUGUAAGUUUUAUACCAAAAAUCCAAAUGGUAAGCUUGACGUUACUUAUUGGACGUGGAGAGCAGGCUGCAGACUUUGUCACCUACACCAAUUAGAUGUGAAAACUUGCUCCUAUACGUGGUCAUUCAAAUAAACUUAGUAUACCCCUCUUUUUUUAUCAUGACAUUUAUCCUACUAGAAUUUAUUGAUCGCUAGGGUAUUGCCAAUUUAUCUGACUCAUAUAUUAACUAAGCUUUCUCUCAAAGAAGUGAAUGAAGAAGCCCUCCUAUUUAUCUUUGAGAAUGGGUUUGUGAUAAUUUUGUUCUAUUCAUCAGAAAUAAGGCAUUAUCAAAACAAUGUUUCUAGUUUCAGAUGUCACACUCCAAGAAAAGUAUCUGUCCAUUAGACAGAUUGUAGAAUUCCAGUACAGAUUGGUGAGACUGACCAGAAUUAUGGAAGACAUGGCCUAAAGAGAAGGGAGAAAGGUUAAAUUAAUUCCAGAUAUUUUUGCAAGUCUAGAGCAAAUGAGACUUGAGUGAGAUAUUCUGAGGUUUUAAAUAAUACGGCUGCUUUGAAGAGCAAAGUAAUCAGAAUAAUACUUUCCGUGUUCGUAGUGUUUAGGACAAGAAGUAACAGCUUUAGAUUGCAAGGAGUAAGAUUCAGGCCCAACAUGGCAAAUUGUUUAAGGAUUGAGAGGGCUGUGACUCACUGAAAUAUAUUGCCUUGGAGUAUUAAGGAAGUCUUUGAAAAUAAAACACAGUCUGAAAAAAACAUAUUACUGGGUCAGAUGAGUGAAGUACGUAACUUACUGAGAUCCCUUCUGGACUCAUUUUUUAAAUACUAGGACUAGAGAUCUGAUACAGAUUGCUUUAAAUACUAAUAAGAAAAUGUGCACAAUGAUAGAAAAUAGUAAAAUAAUAACAUUAAAACAACAGUAACUGGAUGUGUUAACUUAAUCUCUAAUUCAGUGAAUAUUAAAAGCUUUUCAUUUACUGAGUAUUUAACUGGUAAUACAUCUCCCACCAGAAAUAAUCUUUUUAUUUGUUGAGGGAGAGAACUAGAAUGCUUUUGAAAAAACAGACAAGGUUUGAAGGUAAGCCAGAGUUCAGAUUCUGACUAGUUGUCAUCUUAUGAAUAAAUGGAAAUGGAUUAGCCAAAAUGUUAAAAAAAAAAAA
rnacentral:lncRNA from 1 species